UACGGGGGGGGCAAGCGUUGUUCGGAAUUACUGGGCGUAAAGGGCUCGUAGGUGGCCAACUAAGUCGGACGUGAAAUCCCUCGGCUUAACCGGGGAACUGCGUCUGAUACUGGAUGGCUUGAGUUUGGGAGAGGGACGCGGAAUUCCAGGUGUAGCGGUGAAAUGCGUAGAUAUCUGGAGGAACACCGGUGGCGAAGGCGGCAUCCUGGACCAACACUGACACUGAGGAGCGAAAGCCAGGGGAGCAAACGGG
rnacentral:rRNA from 1 species